GAGUUUGAGAACGGCACAGAUCAUUCAGCUGUCGGUUGAGCCACACUGAGGACAGACAGUGAAGAUGACUAGAUAGUGGACUAGUAUAAAUAUCUACUGGCUGGAGACCAGCCUGUCGUCUUUUCUAGAUCAGCUUGCUGUGUCGGUGAAAGAAAUUUCUUUCGCGUAAAAUUGUAUUUUACGACUGAGUUCGUCUUUAGACUUGAGAUAGAAUUCUUGCAGUUUGCGAAGUAUUGUAGAUGGUAGCGGUGCUUGCUGAGUGAGAGACCACGCUACAUAUGGUGCCAUUGGCAUUGGUGGUGUAACCAUGGCAAUGAAGACUCUUCCCGAGGCGAAGUACCUGCUCCGCCUUGUACGGAGCAAAGAUCAUCAGAAGUUGAGGAAGGCAAUCCUUCAAGAGGACGGUACCUUGAAGGAAGGUGUAUCAAACCAGACAUAUACCAACGGAAGGGGAGAGAAGGAGCCAUUACUGGGUCGGUUGCUAUUCACGGCCUGCGAUCAUGGCUGCCUGGAGUGUGCCUGCAUCCUUGCAGACUGCUGCGGAGAAACAGUCAUCAACCAGUUGUAUCUCCGUCCGGUAGGUCUGUGUGUAUGUUUGCUUGCAUUCCUGACACUGUCCCAGGAACUCAGCACACUGCUCGGUAACUUACACUGACUGGCUUUAAAUGUGAAUGUCGAGGUGUUUGCAUGUGUGCAAAUUGUGCAUGUGAUUGUGU